rnacentral:lncRNA from 1 species
UCUCCCCUAGACACAGGUUGAUCUAUCAAUAGUACUCCAGCGGAUCACAUCCAAAAAAGAGUCUAGCCAAGGACCACUGCUCGCCUCCUAUGGCUGACCAUCCGUCCUCCUCCAAAUCAAUCUCACUCUCAAAUAUCACCAGAAGACAUGCUCCAUCGACUCAUCCUUCAGCCCACAAACUAGAUAGGAGACCGUGAGCUCCAUGCCCUUGUCUUUGAGUAGGUACGCAUCAAAAGUC